UCUGCUCCCUGAUCCACGCUUCAGACCUUGGCUGCCCCUGUAGUUCUUUGUUGCCUUUCCGUGUUCAGUGUAGCAGGAGAGAUAUUUUAGGCCAACCUCCCUGACCUCCGUUUCUUUGAGGGUGACACGUCUGGACUUUCAGAUGUUAAGCCAGCCUAGGGAGGGCCAGACCCAGGGUUGCCAGGCAGUGUUCUGCAGGUCUUCACUCCGAGGAUGACUCCAAUCCAUCCUAGGACGCUCUGAAAAGCCUCCUGCUGGCCUGUCAGUUCUGGUGGCUCCAGUGCUGUCCCUGGAAACUCUUGUAAUUGGCUCCUGAGCCCUCUGACAUCAAUGGCUGCUAUGCCACUCUCAGCUGUAGGUGUCUCCUGCCAUUCUCUUCUCCAAGUGUCUCUGGAGCUCUGGAAAUAGCCGUCUCUGUGAGGAACGUUUCCCUGCUCCACAUGGAAAAACAGUUUCACUUUGACCUGAUUCUGAUCCUGUGGAUCCCUGGAGAUGCUCUGGGAACAGGAAGCUCCAUCAAAGCUCCAUCUCCUCCCUGUUCCCUGCAUCCCUCUGAGGCCCAAGGGAUUGGAGAGCGUCUCUAGUCUGAAGGUCUCUGGUCUCUAGCAGGAAAAUUGGUUAAAAUAAGAAAAAAAAUCCAAACAGGAAUAAAGUAAUGAG